UACGUAGGGAGCAAGCGUUGUCCGGAAUCAUUGGGCGUAAAGCGCGCGUAGGCGGCCCGGUAAGUCCGUCGUGAAAGUCAAAGGCUCAACCUUUGAAUGUCGAUGGAUACUGCCGGGCUAGAGUCCGGAAGAGGCGAGUGGAAUUCCUGGUGUAGCGGUGGAAUGCGCAGAUAUCAGGAGGAACACCAGAUGGCGAAGGCAGGUCUCUGGGACGUACAUC
rnacentral:rRNA from 1 species